rnacentral:rRNA from 1 species
AGAGUUUGAUCCUGGCUCAGAUUGAACGCUGGCGGCAUGCUUUACACAUGCAAGUCGAACGGCAGCACGGGUGCUUGCACCUGGUGGCGAGUGGCGAACGGGUGAGUAAUGCACCGGAACGUACCCAGUAAUGGGGGAUAACACAUCGAAAGAUGUGCUAAUACCGCAUACGCCCUGAGGGGGAAAGCGGGGGAUCGUAAGACCUCGCGUUAUUGGAGCGGCCGAUGCCGGAUUAGCUAGUUGGUGAGGUAAGAGCUCACCAAGGCGACGAUCCGUAGCUGGUCUGAGAGGACGACCAGCCACACUGGGACUGAGACACGGCCCAGACUCCUACGGGAGGCAGCAGUGGAGAAUUUUGGACAAUGGGCGCAAGCCUGAUCCAGCCAUG